rnacentral:rRNA from 1 species
UACAUGGGGUGCAAACGUUGCUCGGAAUUAUUGGGCGUAAAGCGCACGUAGGCGGUUCGUUAAGUCGGAUGUGAAAGCCCUCGGCUCAACUGAGGAAGUGCACCCGAAACUGGCGAGCUUGAGUACGAAAGAGGAUCGCGGAAUUCCCGGUGUAGAGGUGAAAUUCGUAGAUAUCAGGAGGAACACCGGUGGCGAAGGCGGGUCUCUGGGCCGUUACUGACGCUGAGGAGCGAAAGCGUGGGGAGCGAACAGG